UAUGCGGUAAUUCAGUUGGUUAGAAUCCCCGGUUAAUAGCCGGGGUGUCGGGGGUUCGACUCCCUCUCGCAUAA
rnacentral:tRNA from 1 species